UGCAGUCGAGCGGACAGAAGGGAGCUUGCUCCCGGAUGUUAGCGGCGGACGGGUGAGUAACACGUGGGUAACCUGCCUGUAAGACUGGGAUAACUCCGGGAAACCGGAGCUAAUACCGGAUAGUUCCUUGAACCGCAUGGUUCAAGGAUGAAAGACGGUUUCGGCUGUCACUUACAGAUGGACCCGCGGCGCAUUAGCUAGUUGGUGGGGUAAUGGCUCACCAAGGCGACGAUGCGUAGCCGACCUGAGAGGGUGAUCGGCCACACUGGGACUGAGACACGGCCCAGACUCCUACGGGAGGCAGCAGUAGGGAAUCUUCCGCAAUGGACGAAAGUCUGACGGAGCAACGCCGCGUGAGUGAUGAAGGUUUUCGGAUCGUAAAGCUCUGUUGUUAGGGAAGAACAAGUGCGAGAGUAACUGCUCGCACCUUGACGGUACCUAACCAGAAAGCCACGGCUAACUACGUGCCAGCAGCCGCGGUAAUACGUAGGUGGCAAGCGUUGUCCGGAAUUAUUGGGCGUAAAGGGCUCGCAGGCGGUUUCUUAAGUCUGAUGUGAAAGCCCCCGGCUCAACCGGGGAGGGUCAUUGGAAACUGGGAAACUUGAGUGCAGAAGAGGAGAGUGGAAUUCCACGUGUAGCGGUGAAAUGCGUAGAGAUGUGGAGGAACACCAGUGGCGAAGGCGACUCUCUGGUCUGUAACUGACGCUGAGGAGCGAAAGCGUGGGGAGCGAACAGGAUUAGAUACCCUGGUAGUCCACGCCGUAAACGAUGAGUGCUAAGUGUUAAGGGGGUUUCCGCCCCUUAGUGCUGCAGCUAACGCAUUAAGCACUCCGCCUGGGGGAGUACGGUCGCAAGACUGAAACUCAAAGGAAUUGACGGGGGCCCGCACAAGCGGUGGAGCCAGGUGGUUUAAUUCGAAGCAACGCGAAGAACCUUACCAGGUCUUGACAUCCUCUGACAACCCUAGAAGAUAGGGCUUUCCCUUCGGGGACAGA
rnacentral:rRNA from 2 species